GCUGGCUGGCUGGCUGGCUGGCUGCUGGGACUUGCAGGCUCAAGGCCCUGAGAAGAGGGUGAAAAGGGUGCUGGGACAGUGGAGAAGUGGUCCCAGCAGAACUGGUGAGAAAUUAAGAAGAGGCAGUAGGAGGAUGCUAGCUACAGGGUCCCUGGGCUGGGACCUGGAGUAGUGGGUGGGCCUGGGUCCCCCCCCUGCUCACCACUGGGGAAGUGACUAAGCUAUAGAACUGUUUCCCCAGAAGGCGAAAACAUGAACAGUGAUAUGGCUGGAGGGCUGAGUCAUGAAGAGGACGCUGCAGUACUUGGACUGAGGCAGGUCUGUAGGCAGUGACAAUGAUGGAUGAGACACCACCAGGAGAGGGUGCACCGGCUAGCAGCACUAAUGCCUGUGACAGCCAGCUGGAGGCUCUGCAGUGGGCACCACCUGAGAUGCAGAAGACCUAGAUUCAAGUCCCUGCUCCAAAUCAGUCAGAGCAGAGGGAUGAAAAUAUUCUCCCACAUCCCAGAAACCUUCCCAUAAUGCCCCAUGCCGGCAGUUAAAUCAAUGCAAGCGCUCCUGGUGAGGACAUUCUCCGCUGACUCAAGGAGCGUAGUGUGGAUGUGUAAAACCAAUUCAGUUAUUGCAGUUGCUGUAACUCAAUGUAACUUAGGAAGAUGUGGUUCACAAGCCGUGCUCUCGCUUAAAUUUGGAUCAUGCUAUGAAAAUGUUGGAGAACCCUGAUGUACAGUAUGCAGUGUGGCCUCAAAGAAAAAUCAUCUUCUUAAAGGUGUUCUAACCUUAAUGGGCUCAGUCCUGCAUUCUUGUGCACUCCAAAGUGCCACUGACUUCAGUAAGAGUUUAACAUUCGCAAGGAAUGCAGAAUUGGUAACAAUGUUUGUUUAAAAUGUUGGUAGGAAAUGAAUGGAUAAAGUGCACGAUGGCUUCCUGAAGUAUCCUGUCCAUGGUAGAUCAUAAUAAAAUCACUUGGUGCUGUGGCAUAUAGAUGCUAAUGAGCUUAAGUUCCUUUUUUCUAUGGAUUUGCUCUUAGAACAGCAAAUUAUUAGAAUUACAGCUGUUCAGAACAGUUUGAAAGUUGUGAUGGAAAACAGCAAAAAUGUUUUAUGGAAUUUUUCAAAGAAUUCUUUGAUCAGCUCUAAUUACAAAAAAGUAUACCUUGCUGCUGAACGCAACUGAUCCUGUUUAAUCAGUUAAAACUUCCUAUAUAGAUUAUCACUAAUCAUUGUUUACUUAGUUACAAAAAUACAGUACUAUGUUGAAUUAGAAUUUAAAAAUGUCACUGGAAAAGACCAGCUCUCCCCCAUAAAGAUUUAAAACAUUCAAAAAGCUUCCCAGCCUUAAAAAUGCCUACAUCCCAUCUCUCCAACUAACCCUGAUCCCAAGAACAAGCCUGGUAAAACAGGUGAGUAUUCUUUGUGGACAGAAUGCCAUCAAAUCCAAAGUAUGGUAGACCAAGGAAUAAGCAAGUUUCCAUAGUCAAGGUAUUUAGAGACUGUGUUUCUAUAAUUGUGAUAGAAGAAUAUACAGGAAAAAAAUCUGAAAUUGCAUUGUAAUUACUUAAACUUCAGACAUUAGUGUCACUCAUAUCAGUCCUCUAUCACCAUUUUCUCAACGUUUUAACUAGUUCAUCAGACUGAUAAAAUCUCUUCUAUGGAUGUCUAAAAAGAAAAAGGAAUGUCAGAUUUAUGUGCAAAAAUUACUUUGGAAGUGUGACUAUUUAAAACAGGAUGAGUCAAUAGCCUACAGCUAACACAACUGGUGCACAAGAACUGGCUCACAAAGCAAGACCAGCAUUUUUUGCUGAUGAGUUUUAAGUAUGUCAGAAAAAAACAAUUUAACAAGUGUUUUCUUUUUUGAGAGAUGUGGUCUAAGUGAGGGACAUGGCACCAGGAACUCCUGUGUUCCACCACUUGCUUAGAAUCUGACUUCCUCUGUGGCUUUUCUUAAGUCAGUUAACUUCUCUCUGCCUCCGAUUCUACUCCUCUAGAAUUGAGUUAAUAACAUGCUUUCCUCAGCCAUGCUGGGUGGAUUAUGAACUAGAUUCACAAAGGUAUUUAAAUGUUGCAACACUCUUUUGGAAUAGGGACUUGAAUCUGACUUUUCCACAUCCCUCCUGAGAGCCCUGACCACUGACCUAUAGAGUCAAUAUUUCUCCUGCUUUCUAGCACAAUGUAUUUUUAAUUCUUUAUACAGCUCCAGCAGGAGCCAGAGAGAGAGCCCCGUCCCCCUCAGAGAUCCAAUAGCCAGAUGGUUAGGGCACUCAGCUGGGAGAUGGGAUACCUGGGUUUAAGUUGUGGUUUCAAAUCUGGCAACAUGGGAUUUGAAAACAGGUCUCCUACAUCUCAGGGGAAUGCUUCAACCACUAGGCUAUUGUCUGUUCUGAUGAACACACAUGUGCACCAGCCAGCCCCCAAAAGUCCAAAUCUGCUUUCCCCAGCUGGCUUCUGGGUGGGUUAGGUGUGCUCAGAGCCUGGUCUGAGAGUCCUACUGAGGCUUAUGCAUGACUAGGGGUCCAAGCAGUUCGUUCACUGUGGAACUGUAUCAGAAUGUAGGCAGCUUUGGACAUGGCCACAGCUGGAAAUUUAAUUGCCGAUGAGGAUUUAGACACCUAUGACUUAGGUGGCAGUUGAGUGCUGGAUUGUGAAUGUCAGUGGUGCCCAAGAAUUGGAUUUAGGCAUCUCAGGAGGUAGGUGACUAAGUACCAUUGUGAAUCUGGCUCUAUGCAUUGAUUUAUUGUGUACCUAUCAUGCACUGUCUAGAUACAGUUA